rnacentral:rRNA from 1 species
UGCGUGAAGUCGGAAUCGCUAGUAAUCGCGGAUCAGCAUGCCGCGGUGAAUACGUUCCCGGGCCUUGUACACACCGCCCGUCACACCAUGAGAGUCGGGAACACCCGAAGCCCGUAGCCUAACUUGCAAGAGAGGGCGCGGUCGAAGGUGGGUUCGAUAAUUGGGGUGAAGUCGUAACAAGGUACC